UACAGAGGGUGCGAGCGUUAAUCGGAAUGACUGGGCGUAAAGGGCGCGUAGGCGGGUUGAUAAGAGAGUUGUGAAAUCCCUGGGCUUAACCUAGGACGUGCAACUGAGACUGUUGAUCUGGAGUACAGUAGAGGGUAGUGGAAUUUCCGGUGUAGCAGUGAAAUGCGUAGAUAUCGGAAGGAACAUCAGUGGCGAAGGCGGCUACCUGGACUGAUACUGACGCUGAGGAGCGAAAGCGUGGGGAGCAAACAGG
rnacentral:rRNA from 1 species